GAUCAUUGCACACACAAAGUUGCGAGCCAACCUUGCGAGCGAACGUCGUGAUUGUCCCCUUGGCCGGUUUCGCGGGGUGUGGUGGAGCGCGGGCAGCUGCUCGCUGCGUCGCGGAGCCGGCCAGAACCCAACCCUGAUUGCGCAAUGCAUCAACGAUUUGGAUCAUGACUGAGUAUGGAAAAGCGAGGAGUGUGUGGGCGCUCAUCACGAGCGCUCAUCACGAGUUGUGGAAUAUGGAAAACAAAAAACAACUCUCAGCAACGGAAUAUCUUGGCUCUUGCAACGAUGAAGAACGCAGCGAAAUGCGAUACGUAGUGUGAAUUGCAGAAUUCCGCGAAUCAUCGAGUCUUUGAACGCAAGUUGCGCCCGAGGCUUGACCAAGGGCAUCCCUGCCAGAGCGUCACCGCGACACCCACCGAUCCGCUCCCGGAGUGCGACCGAGUGAAGCUGGGCCAUCCGAAUGGGGGCCACACCACCACCCGGGACUUCGUGUGCCUUGGGGGUGGGGUGGCGGAUUGGGUUGGCUGAAAUGGAGGCAAUUCGGCCGCCGUGGUGACACAGCCCGCGAUCAGGUGAUCCGGGUCUCAUCUUGGAACUACUUCUAGGUGUGGUGCUGUGUCUCCCAGUUGGUACCGAUGAGGAGGAUGAAUUCCGAAGCAGGUCCCGGACUCCCCCGCCCUGCUGCGAGGGGAGUGUCCCGAGGUGUAACGUCACGCAUCAGACCUCUGAUCAGGGAAG
rnacentral:rRNA from 1 species